UCAGAAUGAACGCCGGCGGCGUGCCUAACACAUGCAAGUCGCACGAGAAAGUCCCAGCUUGCUGGGGCUAGUAAAGUGGCGCACGGGUGAGUAACGCGUGGGUAAUCUACCUCCGAAUUGGGGAUAACAUUGCGAAAGCGGUGCUAAUACCGAAUGACAUCCCCGGGACUACGGUCUUGGUGAUCAAAGGUGGCCUCUACAUGUAGCUAUUGUUUGGAGAUGAGCCCGCGUACCAUUAGCUAGUUGGUAGGGUAAUGGCCUACCAAGGCUACGAUGGUUAGCUGGUCUGAGAGGAUGAUCAGCCACACUGGAACUGACACACGGUCCAGACUCCUACGGGAGGCAGCAGUGAGGAAUUUUGCGCAAUGGGGGAAACCCUGACGCAGCAACGCCGCGUGAGUGAUGAAGGCUUUCGGGUCGUAAAGCUCUGUCAAGUGGGAAGAACCUGCUUCGUGAUAAUACCACGAAGCACUGACGGUACCACUGAAGGAAGCACCGGCUAACUCCGUGCCAGCAGCCGCGGUAAUACGGGGGGUGCUAGCGUUAUUCGGAAUCAUUGGGCGUAAAGGGCGCGUAGGCGGUCUCUUAAGUCAGAUGUGAAAGCCCUCGGCUUAACCGAGGAAGUGCAUUUGAUACUAAGUGACUUGAGUAUGGGAGAGGGAAGCGGAAUUCCUGGUGUAGCGGUGAAAUGCGUAGAUAUCAGGAGGAACACCGGUGGCGAAGGCGGCUUCCUGGACCAAUACUGACGCUGAGGCGCGAAGGCGUGGGGAGCAAACAGGAUUAGAUACCCUGGUAGUCCACGCAGUAAACGGUGAACACUAGGUGUAGCGGGUAUUGACCCCCGCUGUGCCGAAGCUAACGCAUUAAGUGUUCCGCCUGGGAAGUACG
rnacentral:rRNA from 1 species